rnacentral:snRNA from 1 species
GUGCUCGCCUCGGCAGCACAUAUACUAAAGAUUGGAAUGAUACAGGGAAGUAUUACAUGGCCCCUGCGCAACGAUGACACGCAAAUUCGUAAAGAAAAAGAAAAAAAA